GACGAGGGAUCCUAGCGUUGCUCGGAAUCAUUGGGCGUAAAGAGGGCGUAGGUGGCUAGAUAAGUCAGGUGUGAAAGCCCAGGGCUCAACCCUGGAAGUGCAUUUGAUACUGUUUAGCUUGAGUGUUGGAGAGGUUAUCGGAAUACCUGGUGUAGUGGUGAAAUACGUAGAUAUCAGGUGGAACACCGGAGGCGAAGGCGGGUAACUGGCCAAACACUGACACUGAGGCCCGAAAGCAUGGGGAUCAAACAGG
rnacentral:rRNA from 1 species